ensembl:ncRNA C32A3.7 ncRNA
AUUACUAGAUCAUCAGUUUACGCGAGAAGCACGAUUGGAAGACAUAUACGAAGAGUAGAAAUAAAUGAGAGGCGCCCCGCGCGCGAUCAUCGAAAAGGGGGAACCCGAUGGCGGUCACCAGAGCG